rnacentral:rRNA from 1 species
UACGAAGGGAGCUAGCGUUGUUCGGAAUUACUGGGCGUAAAGGGCGCGUAGGCGGUAAUCUAAGUCAGAUGUGAAAGCCUUGGGCUUAACCUGAGAAUUGCAUUUGAUACUGGAUAACUAGAGAUCGAGAGAGGUAAGUGGAAUUACGAGUGUAGAGGUGAAAUUCGUAGAUAUUCGGAAGAACACCAGUGGCGAAGGCGGCUUACUGGCUCGAUACUGACGCUAAGGCGCGAAAGCGUGGGGAGCAAACAGG